rnacentral:rRNA from 1 species
UUGAUACUGUAGGGCUAGGAUUUGGUUGCUGUGGGUGGAAUGUGUGGUGUAGCGGUGAAAUGCUUAGAUAUCACACAGAAUAUCGAUUGCGAAGGCAGCUCACAAAGCCAAGAUUGACGCUGAGGCACGAAAGUGUGGGGAUCAAACAGGAUUAGAUACCCUGGUAGUCCACACUGUAAACGAUGAUAACUCGCUGCCGGCGAUACACAGUCGGUGGCCAAGCGAAAGCGAUAAGUUAUCCACCUGGGGAGUACGACCGCAAGGUUGAAACUCAAAGGAAUUGACGGGGGCCCGCACAAGCGGAGGAACAUGUGGUUUAAUUCGAUGAUACGCGAGGAACCUUGCCCGGGCUCGAACGGUGCAUGAAUAUACAAGAGAUUGUAUAGUCCUUCGGGACAUGUAUCGAGGUGCUGCAUGGUUGUCGUCAGCUCGUGCCGUGAGGUGUCGGCUUAAGUGCCAUAACGAGCGCAAC